rnacentral:rRNA from 1 species
UACGGGGGGGGCAAGCGUUGUUCGGAAUUACUGGGCGUAAAGGGCUCGUAGGCGGCCAACUAAGUCAGACGUGAAAUCCCUCGGCUUAACCGGGGAACUGCGUCUGAUACUGGAUGGCUUGAGAUUGGGAGAGGGAUGCGGAAUUCCAGGUGUAGCGGUGAAAUGCGUAGAUAUCUGGAGGAACACCGGUGGCGAAGGCGGCACUCUGGGCCGGUACUGACGCUGAGGAGCGAAAGCGUGGGAGCGAACAGG